AGACCCGAAACCCGGUGAUCUAGCCAUGGGCAGGUUGAAGGUUGGGUAACACUAACUGGAGGACCGAACCGACUAAUGUUGAAAAAUUAGCGGAUGACCUGUGGCUGGGGGUGAAAGGCCAAUCAAACCGGGAGAUAGCUGGUUCUCCCCGAAAGCUAUUUAGGUAGCGCCUCGUGAAUUCAUCUCCGGGGGUAGAGCACUGUUUCGGCUAGGGGGCCAUCCCGGCUUACCAACCCGAUGCAAACUGCGAAUACCGGAGAAUGUUAUCACGGGAGACACACGGCGGGUGCUAACGUCCGUCGUGAAGAGGGAAACAACCCAGACCGCCAGCUAAGGUCCCAAAGUCAUGGUUAAGUGGGAAACGAUGUGGGAAGGCCCAGACAGCCAGGAUGUUGGCUUAGAAGCAGCCAUCAUUUAAAGAAAGCGUAAUAGCUCACUGGUCGAGUCGGCCUGCGCGGAAGAUGUAACGGGGCUAAACCAUGCACCGAAGCUGCGGCAGCGAACGUAUCACUUAAAGCGAUUCAGC
rnacentral:rRNA from 2 species